CUACGGGACGCUGCAGUGGGGAAUAUUGCACAAUGGGCGCAAGCCUGAUGCAGCCAUGCCGCGUGUAUGAAGAAGGCCUUCGGGUUGUAAAGUACUUUCAACGGGGAGGAAGGGAGUAAAGUUAAUACCUUUGCUCAUUGACGUUACCCGCAGAAGAAGCACCGGCUAACUCCGUGCCAGCAGCCGCGGUAAUACGGAGGGUGCAAGCGUUAAUCGGAAUUACUGGGCGUAAAGCGCACGCAGGCGGUUUGUUAAGUCAGAUGUGAAAUCCCCGGGCUCAACCUGGGAACUGCAUCUGAUACUGGCAAGCUUGAGUCUCGUAGAGGGGGGUAGAAUUCCAGGUGUAGCGGUGAAAUGCGUAGAGACCUGGAGGAAUACCGGUGGCGAAGGCGGCCCCCUGGACGAAGACUGACGCUCAGGUGCGAAAGCGUGGGGAGCAAACAGGAUUAGAUACCCGAGUAGUC
rnacentral:rRNA from 1 species